rnacentral:rRNA from 1 species
AUUGAACGCUGGCGGCAGGCCUAACACAUGCAAGUCGAACGAGUGGCGGACGGGUGAGUAAUGUCUGGGAAACUGCCCGACGGCGGGGGAUAACUACUGGAAAUGGUAGCUACUACCGCAUAUCAACGGAUGUGCCCAGAUGGGAUUAUCAAGUCGGUGGGGUAACGGCUCACCUAGGCGAAGAUCCAUAGCUGGUCUGAGAGGAAGACCAGCCACACUGGAACUGAGACACGGUCCAGACUCCUACGGAGGACAGCAGUGGGGAAUAUUGCACAAUGGGCGCAAGCCUGAUGCAGCCAUGCCGCGUGUGUGAAGAAGGCCUUCGGGUUGUAAAGUACUUUCAGCGAGGAGGCGUUACUCGCAGAAGAAGCACCGGCUAACUCCGUGCCAGCCGCCGCGGUAAUUC